rnacentral:lncRNA from 1 species
AAGUUGAUCGUACAUAAGCAUAAGUCCAUGCGUAGGCAUUCCAGCCUUUAACCUGCUGUCGCCAAGCUCCCUCGUCUCUGAAGAAGCAAGCAAGGUGGCGAUGAUGGAUCGAUCUCAGCAAUAGAAUCAAUUCCUCCCCUUCGAUCUGAUGGAUAUGAACAUCCUUAUAUACCUAUAGUGAACCGUUCACGGGUCCCGGUGGGAUCCGGGGAACCCCAACACAUGUUGAUUCUAUGGAGUCAUAAACAAACUAUUGAAAUGUUGAGUAAUAGAAGUCAUCGAUUUCGGGGAAACACUCCCCAUUCUGAUUGAUUGGCCGGAUUGAUCUUUUCUUGAGCAAAGCAGUCCAGGCCUUGACUUUCCUCCAGCUUUUGAAUGGGUAACAAAUGAG